GCCUUCCGGCGGGAAGGGGUUAACUACUGAUAAAGACAAAGUGGACUUUUGUUUUUUUUAUCAGUAGAUGAAGCGCAACAGAGUGAUUGCCUUUCACCCAAUUUGAUGGCUUUCCUUUCUUGUACAGAUCCGCCAGGCCCCAUUGACAAUCGGCCAAUAGCAAUCAUGAAAGGGGGGCAACCUCUCCUCAAACAUGGAGCUGAUUGUGGGCAGAUCUCCAAGGAGAUGUGGUACUACCUCCACUCCAUUUAUGACGGGGGUCCCGAGGUGUUUCUCCACCCAAACCGCCCCUCCCACAUGGACCACACCCAAUCAGCUGCUUCCGACGAGGAAUGUUCGAGCCCACGGGAGGACACCCAAUCUCGACUGUGAAAAAAACACAUGCAGCAAACACAUUACGAAGACCUUUUAUGCAACUCACGAAUUGUGGGGCCAAAAGCUGCUACGCCGGCUUGCAUUCCAGUCCCGAUGGAAGCAAGCAUUCUGUUAAUGCACAACGCAGAACCAUGAAUGGAGUUCAGCUGCUCCGCCCACUGGGGACCAUCUUCACUCAGUCACCUUGCACGAGAAGACUUCAAAUCUGUGUCGGGAUGAACAGUCCCGACAGGUCAAAUCUACAACCCCCGCCGUACAUCCUAGCUGCCCUGCCCACUUUGUUUACACCCAUCAAUCACCUCGGAUUGACAAGAACUUAAUCUCUUGCCCUCUAAACAUCAGUUGUACAAAUCGACACAUUUUCACAGGGGUCAGGCAGUUGUACAAAUGUGAGACAACGUCCCCAUGACUACUUCAAACAGUAUCAUUAUCAAAAGAACUUAUUUUGUCCACUUGCAGCAUAAAAGGUUUUGCAGUCGUACUAUGUGCACGUAGUGCUUACAGAAAGAAGAAUUAUCUAAAAGUUGCACUGAUGAUGUGGCCAAACUACAUGUAUUAGAAUCAUCUUUUAUUAUGUUAGUCAAAGAACCUCACUGCACCUGUACGGGCAACAUUUUGUUUCAGACCACAAAAAGAUUGGGAUUUGAACUGAACAAUGGUUCAUGCAGUCCACGUACCAAUUUGGGUUCUGACGGAUAAAUUGAAAUCUUUUUGCGACCGUAGGAAGGUGAUAGUGAAUUCACGAGGAAAUGAGAAGACAGUGUUUUAUUAUAAAUGGACUUUCACUAUUUUUCCACAAAUGGAGACAAACUAUUCAUGGAGAUCUUAAGGCUGUGAUGGAAAUAUUGGAUAAAUUUAAAAUGGAAUAUCGGAGAGUGAUGGCGGUGUCAAAAACUUGAUUAAAAAUGUCUUUAUUAGCUUUUUUGUAAAAUGCAAAUAUAUAUCAUGAGCAAUUCCUAAAUAAUAUUUGGUUAUUAUUUAUACCAUCUUACAGAUAUUACUCGACUUUGAGAGUACUGAAUAUGUCCGUUACCAAAUGCAUAUUGUCAAUUGUGACAGUUGUAAGUUUAUUUAAAGUGUACGCUAUUAUCUUUCAUUGUGUGGUUACUGUUUGUGUUUGUUGAACCUCAUUGCUUCAGAGUUGACAGGAAUUAUUUAUUUUAAAAUGGUACAGAUUAGUGUACACAGAAAAAUCCUGAUGCUACUUACCUGUAAGUUACAGUUGAACAAAACAAUAAAUAGCGGUGUCGGAACCUGA